AGACCGUUCAAAAUUUUAUUUUAUAAUCUAUUUUAACAACUAUCUCGUAAGGGUAAUGUGGUCCAAAACUAAACAUACAUAGACAGAUUUUAUCACUUCAAUUUAUAGAAUUAAGAUUCUCGGAGAUGAUCACGGGAAGAUCAAUCCUCCGAUAUCUUUUUAGUUAAAACUUACUUAAUUUAAAGAUCAUCUUCUUGCUUGAUUUGUUUCAAAAACUCAGAAACCUUCAUUUCUUAAUUUUCGUGGUCACUACGUGUGGAAUCCCAGGGUAAUUCUUGUGGUGAUGCCAUGGUUUAAGUCAUAUUGCUAGCUCCAAUUAUUGGGUUGUUAAGGAUUAUAACCAACACCGUCUUUUGGGAUCUCGGAGUGGAACCAUUUAGGUCAUUGACGUCUCUUGAGUUUUUAUGUUCACAAAAAUGUUGCCUAGGGACUAAAUGGUUUGGAAAUUCGAGACUCGUUUCCUGCUCCAAUACUCUGGUGCAAUUUAUAGAAUUUUUCCUCAUCAUAUUUGUUAUGUAGUUUUGGUUUCUUGUUCCUAUGCAUCAUGAUAUGCAACCCUUUUCUUGUGGACACUGGAAAAUGAAAAUAGUGGAGGCUACAUUAAUAUACUUGUAGUCACCAAGUUAGUGACCAUUUCUAGAUUAUGUGUGUUAAGAUUUACAUGUUUUAGAUAGCAUCAUUGCAGGUUGCUCAAAAAUUUGGAGGAUCUUUAGAGGUGGAGGGCCAAAUCCAUCACAUAAGUUAUGUGAACCUUCUGCAGCAAGCGCCAUCAUAUUAUACAAGGCUUGGUGAACAGUUAUUCACGAGUUUGUAUGUGUUUGAAGAACUAACUGUGAGUGCAAGUGAACUUAAGGAUUUGGAUAUUGGGUUAUGCCCAUAGUGCUGCUUACUAUGAUCCCUGAAGAAUUGGCCAGCUGGAUGUUUAUUAGAGUAUUUUAAUGCAGUUCUGAGACUCUAUAUUCUUAGAGUAGAGGAAUGCAUUUCCAUUCAUUGCUACCUUGUAUUUCUUAUGAUUCGCUGAAAUUGUUGAAGUACGGAAAAAUCAUUCUGGAGGCUUCAGUGGACAUGACUAGGAGAUCCAUGACAUUAUACUUAGAAUAUCAUUGGCAGAUGAAAAUUUGCUGACUUUUCCUACGAUGAAUUUUAGUUAUUAAACAUGAGUUUACUUUUUUGUAUCAA